rnacentral:rRNA from 1 species
UACGAAGGGGGCUAGCGUUGCUCGGAAUCACUGGGGGUAAAGCGCACGUAGGCGGAUUGUUAAGUCAGGGGUGAAAUCCUGGAGCUCAACUCCAGAACUGCCUUUGAUACUGGCGAUCUUGAGUCCGGGAGAGGUGAGUGGAACUGCGAGUGUAGAGGUGAAAUUCGUAGAUAUUCGCAAGAACACCAGUGGCGAAGGCGGCUCACUGGCCCGGUACUGACGCUGAGGUGCGAAA